rnacentral:rRNA from 1 species
AGGUGGGAUUAGCUAGUUGGUGAGGUAAGGGCUCACCAAGGCGACGAUCCCUAGCUGGUCUGAGAGGAUGAUCAGCCACACUGGAACUGAGACACGGUCCAGACUCCUACGGGAGGCAGCAGUGGGGAAUAUUGCACAAUGGGCGCAAGCCUGAUGCAGCCAUGCCGCGUGUGUGAAGAAGGCCUUCGGGUUGUAAAGCACUUUCAGUCGUGAGGAAGGUGGUGUAGUUAAUAGCUGUAUCAUUUGACGUUAGCGACAGAAGAAGCACCGGCUAACUCCGUGCCAGCAGCCGCGGUAAUACGGAGGGUGCGAGCGUUAAUCGGAAUUACUGGGCGUAAAGCGCAUGCAGGUGGUUUGUUAAGUCAGAUGUGAAAGCCCGGGGCUCAACCUCGGAAUUGCAUUUGAAACUGGCAGACUAGAGUACUGUAGAGGGGGGUAGAAUUUCAGGUGUAGCGGUGAAAUGCGUAGAGAUCUGAAGGAAUACCGGUGGCGAAGGCGGCCCCCUGGACAGAUACUGACACUCAGAUGCGAAAGCGUGGGGAGCAAACAGGAUUAGAUACCCUGGUAGUCCACGCCGUAAACGAUGUCUACUUGGAGGUUGUGGCCUUGAGCCGUGGCUUUCGGAGCUAACGCGUUAAGUAGACCGCCUGGGGAGUACGGUCGCAAGAUUAAAACUCAAAUGAAUUGACGGGGGCCCGCACAAGCGGUGGAGCAUGUGGUUUAAUUCGAUGCAACGCGAAGAACCUUACCUACUCUUGACAUCCAGAGAACUUUCCAGAGAUGGAUUGGUGCCUUCGGGAACUCUGAGACAGUGCUGCAUGGCUGUCGUCAGCUCGUGUUGUGAAAUGUUGGGUUAAU